GGGGUUGAGGCUCAGAGGUAGAGCUCAUGCCUAGCACGCAUGAGGCACUGGGUUUGAUCCUCAGCACCA
rnacentral:tRNA from 1 species